GGUGACGAGUGGCGGACGGGUGAGUAAUGUCUGGGAAACUGCCCGAUGGAGGGGGAUAACUACUGGAAACGGUAGCUAAUACCGCAUAAUGUCGCAAGACCAAAGAGGGGGACCUUCGGGCCUCUUGCCAUCGGAUGUGCCCAGAUGGGAUUAGCUAGUAGGUGAGGUAACGGCUCACCUAGGCGACGAUCCCUAGCUGGUCUGAGAGGAUGACCAGCCACACUGGAACUGAGACACGGUCCAGACUCCUACGGGAGGCAGCAGUGGGGAAUAUUGCACAAUGGGCGCAAGCCUGAUGCAGCCAUGCCGCGUGUAUGAAGAAGGCCUUCGGGUUGUAAAGUACUUUCAGCGAGGAGGAAGGCGUUGUGGUUAAUAACCACAGCGAUUGACGUUACUCGCAGAAGAAGCACCGGCUAACUCCGUGCCAGCAGCCGCGGUAAUACGGAGGGUGCAAGCGUUAAUCGGAAUUACUGGGCGUAAAGCGCACGCAGGCGGUCUGUCAAGUCGGAUGUGAAAUCCCCGGGCUCAACCUGGGAACUGCAUCCGAAACUGGCAGGCUAGAGUCUUGUAGAGGGGGGUAGAAUUCCAGGUGUACCGGUGAAAUGCGUAGAGAUCUGGAGGAAAUACCGGUGGCGAAGGCGGCUCCCCUGGGACAAAGCACUUGACGCUCAGGUGCUAAAAGCGUGGGGGAAGCAAUACAA
rnacentral:rRNA from 1 species